rnacentral:tRNA from 1 species
GCCUGGUUAGCUCAGGUGAUACAGCGCUCUACUGGCUGGAAAUGGAGAGGUACCUGGUUCGAUACCAGGACCAGGCG